rnacentral:rRNA from 1 species
GACGAACGCUGGCGGCGUGCCUAACACAUGCAAGUCGAGCGAUGAAAUCCCUUCGGGGAUGGAUUAGCGGCGGACGGGUGAGUAACACGUGGGUAACCUGCCUCAAAGUGGGGGAUAGCCUUCCGAAAGGAAGAUUAAUACCGCAUAAUAUUAGAUUUUCGCAUGAAGAGCUAAUUAAAGAAGCAAUUCGCUUUGAGAUGGACCCGCGGCGCAUUAGCUAGUUGGUGAGGUAAUGGCUCACCAAGGCGACGAUGCGUAGCCGACCUGAGAGGGUGAUCGGCCACAUUGGAACUGAGACACGGUCCAGACUCCUACGGGAGGCAGCAGUGGGGAAUAUUGCACAAUGGGGGAAACCCUGAUGUAGCAACGCCGCGUGAGUGAUGAAGGUCUUCGGAUUGUAAAGCUCUGUCUUUUGGGACGAUAAUGACGGUACCAAAGGAGGAAGCCACGGCUAACUACGCGCCAGCCGCCGCCGUAAAAC